GCGGGUGUCGUAUAACGGCUAUUAUAUGACCUUCCCAAGGUUGAGACGCGGGUUCGACUCCCGCCACCCGCACCA
rnacentral:tRNA from 1 species